rnacentral:rRNA from 1 species
UACAGAGGGUGCGAGCGUUUGUUCGGAAUUAUUGGGCGUAAAGCGCUUGUAGGCGGCUUGUUAAGUUCCGUGUGAAAUCCCCAGGCUUAACCUGGGAAGUGCGCGGAAAACUGGCGAGCUUGAGUGCCGGAGAGGGUCGCGGAAUUCCCGGUGUAGAGGUGAAAUUCGUAGAUAUCGGGAGGAACACCAGUGGCGAAGGCGGCGACCUGGACGGACACUGACGCUGAGACGCGAAAGCGUGGGGAGCAAACAGG